GGAUUAGAUACCCUGGUAGUCCACGCCGUAAACGAUGUGCACUAGGUGUUGGGCUUUCGAAGGCUCAGUGCCGUAAGUUAACACGUUAAGUGCACCGCCUGGGGAGUAUGCCCGCAAGGGUGAAACUCAAAGGAAUUGACGGGGGCCCGCACAAGCGGUGGAGCAUGUGGUUUAAUUCGAUGAUACGCGAGGAACCUUACCAGGGCUUGACAUAUACCGGGAGUCGUGAGAGAUCACGGCGCCCUUCGGGGCCGGUAUACAGGUGCUGCAUGGCUGUCGUCAGCUCGUGCCG
rnacentral:rRNA from 1 species